rnacentral:tRNA from 1 species
GCGGGAGUAGUUCAGUUGGUAGAACACUAGCCUUCCAAGCUAGUCGUCGCGGGUUCAAGUCCCGUCUCCCGCUCCA